GUUGUAUAGUCAAGUAAUUAAGUGCAUGUGGUGGAUGCCUUGGCAGUCAGAGGCGAUGAAAGACGUGAUAGCCUGCGAAAAGCUCCGGGGAGGCGGCAAAUAUCCUUUGAUCCGGAGAUGUCUGAAUGGGGGAACCCACCUACUUUAAGGUAGGUAUUGCAACAUGAAUACAUAGUGUUGCAAGGCGAACGAGGGGAAGUGAAACAUCUCAGUACCCUUAGGAAAAGAAAUCAAUUGAGAUUCCCUCAGUAGCGGCGAGCGAACGGGGAUCAGCCCAUUAAGUUAUGUGUGUUUUAGUGGAACGCUCUGGGAAGUGCGAACGUAGAGGGUGAUAUUCCCGUACACGAAAGGGCACACAUAAUGAUGACGAGUAGGGCGAGGCACGUGAAACCUUGUCUGAAUAUGGGGGGACCAUCCUCCAAGGCUAAAUACUCCUGACUGACCGAUAGUGAACCAGUACCGUGAGGGAAAGGCGAAAAGAACCCCUGUGAGGGGAGUGAAAUAGAUCCUGAAACCGCAUGCAUACAAGCAGUGGGAGCACCUUCGUGGUGUGACUGCGUACCUUUUGUAUAAUGGGUCAGCGACUUAUAUUCAGUAGCAAGGUUAACCGUAUAGGGGAGCCGUAGAGAAAUCGAGUCUUAAUAGGGCGUUUAGUUGCUGGGUAUAGACCCGAAACCAGGCGAUCUAUCCAUGAGCAGGUUGAAGGUUGGGUAACACUAACUGGAGGACCGAACCCACUGUCGUUGAAAAGCCAGGGGAUGACUUGUGGAUAGGGGUGAAAGGCUAAUCAAGCCUGGUGAUAGCUGGUUCUCCCCGAAAGCUAUUUAGGUAGCGCCUCGGACGAAUACCAUAGGGGGUAGAGCACUGUUUCGGCUAGGGGGUCAUCCCGACUUACCAAACCGAUGCAAACUCCGAAUACCUAUGAGUACUAUCCGGGAGACAGACUGCGGGUGCUAACGUCCGUAGUCAAGAGGAAAACAAUCCAGACCGCCAGCUAAGGCCCCAAAAUCAUAGUUAAGUGGGAAACGAUGUGGGAAGGCAUAGACAGCUAGGAGGUUGGCUUAGAAGCAGCCACCCUUUAAAGAAAGCGUAAUAGCUCACUAGUCGAGUCGGCCUGCGCGGAAGAUGUAACGGGGCUAAAACUAUGUGCCGAAGCUGCGGAUNNNNNNNNNNNNNNNNNNUUGACAUUAGUCAAGUGGUAGGGGAGCGUUCUGUAAGCCGAUGAAGGUGUAUUGAGAAGUAUGCUGGAGGUAUCAGAAGUGCGAAUGCUGACGUGAGUAACGACAAAACGGGUGAAAAACCCGUUCGCCGAAAGACCAAGGGUUCCAGUCCAACGUUAA
rnacentral:rRNA from 1 species